GCAAGUCUGGUGCCAGCAGCCGCGGUAAUUCCAGCUCCAAUAGCGUAUAUUAAAGUUGUCGCAGUUAAAAAGCUCGUAGUUGAACCUCGGGAUCAAUGGAUCGGUCAUGCCAUCGGUAUGUACUGGUCUCAUUGGUUCUCACCUUCUAAGGAACCAUGAUGUCAUUCAGUUGAUGUUGUGGGGAAUUAGGACUGUUACCUUGAAAAAAUUAGAGUGUUUAAAGCAGGCUAACGCUUGAAUACAUUAGCAUGGAAUAAUGAAAUAGGACAUCGCAUUCUAUUUUGUUGGUUUCUAGGAUCGAUGUAAUGAUUAAUAGGGAUAGUUGGGGGCAUUAGUAUUCAAUUGUCAGAGGUGAAAUUCUUGGAUUUAUUGAAGACUAACUACUGCGAAAGCAUUUGCCAGGGAUGUUUUCAUUAAUCAAGAACGAAAGUUAGGGGAUCGAAGACGAUCAGAUACCGUCGUAGCCUUAACCAUAAACUAUGCCGACUAGGGAUCGGAUGAUGUUGAUUUUUUAAUGACUCAUUCGGCGCCUUACGGGAAAC
rnacentral:rRNA from 1 species